UGAGGCUAAAUAAUAAGUUACGGUGGUAUGUGCGUUUUCUUUUGAGGGAGCCUUGUGUUGUCUAUCACUCCGGACCAGUGUGGCGGUAGUGCGCAGAUAGGCAGAAAGACGGUAAACCAAAGAACAAGCUGGGAAAUAAAGAUGGCGUCGUUUUGGGGGAUUCCCAAUCUGUCCUCGUAAUCUUUAUGUUAAUUUUUGAUAGAAUUCCUUAUCAUGCUUUCGACUGUCUUCGGAUGUCUCGCCGUCUUCCUGACUCCGGGGCUGUGCUGUCAGCUCAAGGAAUAUUCUACCACGGAUGGUCAAUGUUGUCCAAUGUGCCACGAAGGUUCAGUUGUUCGAAGAGACUGCACUCGUCAGACAGGCACACGGUGCAUCCCCUGUGUGAAUGGGACAUUUAUGAACGAACCCAAUGGCCUGAAUAAAUGUAACCCCUGCA